CCUACGGGUGGCAGCAGUGGGGAAUAUUGGACAAUGGGGGCAACCCUGAUCCAGCCAUGCCGCGUGUGUGAAGAAGGCCCUCGGGUUGUAAAGCACUUUCAGUGAGGAAGAACGCCUGGUGGUUAAUACCCAUCAGGAAAGACAUCACUCACAGAAGAAGCACCGGCUAACUCCGUGCCAGCAGCCGCGGUAAUACGGAGGGUGCGAGCGUUAAUCGGAAUUACUGGGCGUAAAGCGCGCGUAGGUGGCUUGAUAAGCCGGUUGUGAAAGCCCUGGGCUCAACCUGGGAACGGCAUCCGGAACUGUCAAGCUAGAGUGCAGGAGAGGAAGGUAGAAUUCCCGGUGUAGCGGUGAAAUGCGUAGAGAUCGGGAGGAAUACCAGUGGCGAAGGCGGCCUUCUGGACUGACACUGACACUGAGGUGCGAAAGCGUGGGUAGCAAACAGGAUUAGAUACCCCUGUAGUC
rnacentral:rRNA from 1 species